UACAGAGGUCUCAAGCGUUGUUCGGAUUCAUUGGGCGUAAAGGGUGCGUAGGUGGCGUUGUAAGUCAGGUGUGAAAUCUCGGAGCUCAACUCCGAAACUGCACUUGAUACUGCAAUGCUCGAGUACUGGAGAGGAGAUUGGAAUUUACGGUGUAGCGGUGAAAUGCGUAGAUAUCGGGAAGAACACCGGUGGCGAAGGCGGCUCUCUGGGCCUGUCCUGACGCUCAGGCGCGAAAGCUAGGGGAGCGAACAGG
rnacentral:rRNA from 1 species